CUUUGCAUUUGGCAGGCUGACAUGAGUGGCCUCUUCAUCCCUGCUGCCUUAGCGACUUGCAAGGUUUGCUGGAAAGGCCUGGUUGCAUGAUCCUUCUGCACGACUGGUUCAUCACAGCAAAUGAGUGUUAACAUUUCAUUAGCGCCUGCAUAUGCCAAAGCAGCAAAUUGGUCUGGGAAAGAUCCUUCUCCACAACUGGCUCAAGGUCACGGCAUAAGAUGUGGAUUAAAGAGAAAACAGCAAACAGCUGUUGGCAUCAGGUCACAGCCAACCUGGGAGUUUUGUUU